GCCGGUGUAGCUCAGUGGUAGAGCGUCCGAUUCGUAAUCGGUUGGUCAGCGGUUCAAAUCCGCUCAUCGGCU
rnacentral:tRNA from 25 species